AUACGGAGGAUCCGAGCGUUGUCCGGAUUUAUUGGGUUUAAAGGGAGCGUAGGUGGACAGUUAAGUCAGUUGUGAAAGUUUGCGGCUCAACCGUAAAAUUGCAGUUGAUACUGGCUGUCUUGAGUACAGUAGAGGUGGGCGGAAUUCGUGGUGUAGCGGUGAAAUGCUUAGAUAUCACGAAGAACUCCGAUUGCGAAGGCAGCUCACUGGACUGCAACUGACACUGAUGCUCGAAAGUGUGGGUAUCAAACAGGAUUAGAUACCCUGGUAGUCCACACAGUAAACGAUGAAUACUCGCUGUUUGCGAUAUACAGUAAGCGGCCAAGCGAAAGCAUUAAGUAUUCCACCUGGGGAGUACGCCGGCAACGGUGAAACUCAAAUGAAUUGACGGGG
rnacentral:rRNA from 1 species